rnacentral:Y_RNA from 1 species
GACUGGUCUAAUUAGUGCAGUGGUGUUUACAACUAAUUGAUCACAACCAGUUAUGGAUUCCUUUGUUCCUUCUCCACUGCUUCACUUGACUAGCCUUUA